rnacentral:rRNA from 1 species
UACGGAGGGUGCGAGCGUUAUCCGGAAUUACUGGGCUUAAAGGGUGCGUAGGCGGCUAUGUAAGUCAGGAGUGAAAGUUUGCGGCUCAACCGUAAAAUUGCUUUUGAUACUGCAUGGCUGGAAUUAGGAUGAGGUCAGCGGAAUGUGGCAUGUAGCGGUGAAAUGCAUAGAUAUGCCAUAGAACACCAAUUGCGAAGGCAGCUGGCUAGACCUGGAUUGACGCUGAGGCACGAAAGCGUGGGGAGCGAACAGG